rnacentral:rRNA from 1 species
CAUGAAGCUGGAAUCGCUAGUAAUCGCGGAUCAGAAUGCCGCGGUGAAUACGUUCCCGGGUCUUGUGCACACCGCCCGUCACACCAUGGGAGUCGGAAAUGCCCGAAGUCUGUGACCCAACCUUAGGGAGGGAGCAGCCGAAGGCAGGUCGGAUGACUGGGGUGAAGUCGUAACAAGGUACC